rnacentral:rRNA from 1 species
UACGUAGGGUGCAGGCGUUAAUCGGAAUUACUGGGCGUAAAGCGUGCGCAGGCGGUCUGCUAAGAGAGGUGUGAAAUCCCCGGGCUUAACCUGGGAACUGCGCUUCUAACUGGCAGGCUAGAGUGUGGCAGAGGGGGGUGGAAUUCCUCGUGUAGCAGUGAAAUGCGUAGAGAUGUGGAGGAACACCGAUGGCGAAGGCAGCCCCCUGGGCUAACACUGACGCUCAUGCACGAAAGCGUGGGGAGCAAACAGG